ACUAGGUGUGGGUUUCCUUCCUUGGGAUCCGUGCCGUAGCUAACGCAUUAAGUACCCCGCCUGGGGAGUACGGCCGCAAGGCUAAAACUCAAANAAAUUGACGGGGGCCCGCACAAGCGGCGGAGCAUGUNGAUUAAUUCGAUGCAACGCGAAGAACCUUACCUGGGUUUGACAUGCACAGGACGCCAGUAGAGAUAUUGGUUCCCUUGUGGCCUGUGUGCAGGUGGUGCAUGGCUGUCGUCAGCUCGUGUCGUGAGAUGUUGGGUUAAGUCCCGCAACGAGCGCAACCCUUGUCUCAUGUUGCCAGCACGUAAUGGUGGGGACUCGUGAGAGACUGCCGGGGUCAACUCGNAGGAAGGUGGGGAUGACGUCAAGUCAUCAUGCCCCUUAUGUCCAGGGCUUCACACAUGCUACAAUGGCCGGUACAAAGGGCUGCGAUGCCGUGAGGUGGAGCGAAUCCUUUCAAANCCGGUCUCAGUUCGGAUCGGGGUCUGCAACUCGACCCCGUGAAGUCGGAGUCGCUAGUAAUCGCAGAUCAGCAACGCUNCGGUGAAUACGUUCCCGGGCCUUGUACACACCGCCCGUCACGUCAUGAAAGU
rnacentral:rRNA from 1 species